AUAGUUCCACGACAGGACAAUAGCAUGAUCAUGAAGGUGGGUUUCACGGGAGGAGGUUUAUCCAUUUCACUGUGGAUGUGCUGAUCCUGAGAGUUCCCCCAACGUGGGAAACUCAACUUCAUUAAGUCGUGGUAAUGAGAACGGUGCUCACACUCUCCCAU
ensembl:snRNA Gm23249 predicted gene, 23249